AAAUAGAACUUUGCAGAGAGAGUUAACAGGGCGUGAAACCGUUAAUUGGCAAACGAAUCGGAGCCACGAAGUCGUUUCGAUGUUAGUUGAGCCAAGUUCAGUUUAGGAGCAAAACUCUUGGGCGUAUUCUUGGUUUAACCAUUGUAAGCGUACACUGCAACCAGUUAGACAGUUAAAGAUGGAACCAGUUGAUAUAUUCUUUCGGGAGUAUGUUAGCGAAAAAUUUGUUUAUUAGAGUUAGUAGUAGUGGGCUAUCUUUCGGGGUAUGUCUGUUGCUGGGCUUUAGUAAGUGAACUAUCUUUAAGUACUGACUGGCACAUUGAUAAUCACUAGCAAUAGUGUUUUAUACAAUGCGGUUAGCUAUACUAGUGUCUACAUAGGCAACCAUGGGGUUUUAAGCUCGACAUCUUUGAAUUUGGACUGGCCAUCUACUAAAGGGCAACUUUUGGUGUUGGUUUAGCUUCCAUCUAAUCGGGUGUUGACUUGAUUCUAUGUUGUUUGUUUAUGAAACGAUUGGAUGUUAGUAUAAGUUAAUUCGCCAUUGAUUGGCAGUGAGUAGGUCGGCUUUCCGAACGACCCGUCUUGAAACACGGACCAAGGAGUCUAAUUAGGCAUCGAGUCGAUCGGUCUUGAAUAGGCCAGACUUGGGGAUUCGUUCCUCAGAUUGAAGGCAUAGAGAAAUCAAAUCAUGUGAUCAUGGGAACAAUACCAGUUCUUAUGCGCAACAUGUGCCUGUUCGUAUAACAAUGUUGCAAAACUUGUUGAGCGGAGCAAAGAGAUACCUGAUUGGUACCCGAAAGAUGGUGAACUAUGCUUGGGCAAGUUGAAGCCAGAGGAAACUCUGGUGGAGGACUGUAGCGAUUCUGACGUGCAAAUCGAUCGUCAGACCUGAGUAUAGGGGCGAAAGACUAAUCGAACCAUC
rnacentral:rRNA from 1 species